rnacentral:piRNA from 1 species
UAUGUACAGAAGUGCUUCAGAGUGUGUCC